AGGAAGAGGGCCGCGCGGCGUGCGCUACCGUCUUACCGACCACGCCACAGCGAAGCCGGUGCGAAACCGGUGCUGUCCCGCAACUGUGAUGCCCCUGCCGGGGACGAGCCAGGUCGCCUGCGGUGCGGUCGCGACCCGC
rnacentral:ncRNA from 1 species